rnacentral:lncRNA from 1 species
AUAUUCUUAUACUUGUGGUUUAUCUUAGUCAUCAAUUCUUCAAGUAUAUCCCGCCUUCAACACAGAGGCUUCACAGCCUGAUCCGUUCUACGGUAAACCAUACUUAGAUUCCCUAGCUCCAUUUCCAUCCUUUUAAAUUGUUCUUCAUGUGUUUUACUACGAGUCUCCAUCUCCCCAUCUCACGAACUGGUCUGAUACCAAAUGUUACAGUUGUGUCUUCAAACUAUAACCAAACUAACUUAUAACCCCCAAAACUAACCACCAACAGGUAAAAUGGAGAUAACCCAGCAAUUCGAUUGCAAUCAAAUGAAACCAUUACAAUCAAACAAUUGCUAUAGAGAACAAAAGUUAGAAAAGAGAAAAAACUAAAAGGGAGCUGAGAGAGGAAAUCACAAGAUGUAAUACUUUGGGGAAAAAAAAGUCAAACA